rnacentral:rRNA from 1 species
AUUCCAGCUCCAGUAGCGUAUAUUAAAGUUGUUGCAGUUAAAAAGCUCGUAGUUGGAUUUCUGACUUCAAACACCUGACCCUCCCUCGCUAGAGGUGUGUGUGCCGGAGUGUUUGUAUCAUCCUUUCAGUGAUCGGUUCUACCCUUAACCGGGUCGGAACUGUUAACUGGAUCUUUUACUUUGAAGAAAUUGGAGUGUUUAAAGCAGGCUUACGCCAGAACAUAUUAGCAUGGAAUAAUAAUUUAGGACUUUUGUUCUAUUUUGUUGGUUUCUAGGACGAAAGUAAUGAUUGAUAGGGAUAGUUGGGGGUGCUAGUAUUCGGCGGCCAGAGGUGAAAUUCUUUGAUCCGCUGAAGACUAACUUAUGCGAAAGCAUUCACCAAGGAUGUCUUCAUUA